GAUGAACGCUGGCGGCGUGCCUAAUACAUGCAAGUCGAGCGAACAGACGAGGAGCUUGCUCCUCUGACGUUAGCGGCGGACGGGUGAGUAACACGUGGAUAACCUACCUAUAAGACUGGGAUAACUUCGGGAAACCGGAGCUAAUACCGGAUAAUAUAUUGAACCGCAUGGUUCAAUAGUGAAAGACGGUUUUGCUGUCACUUAUAGAUGGAUCCGCGCCGCAUUAGCUAGUUGGUAAGGUAACGGCUUACCAAGGCAACGAUGCGUAACCGACCUGAGAGGGUGAUCGGCCACACUGGAACUGGGACACGGUCCAGGCUCCUACGGGAGGCAGCAGUAGGGAAUCUGCCGCAAUGGGCGAAAGCCUGACGGAGCAACGCCGCGUGAGUGAUGAAGGUCUUCGGAUCGUAAAACUCUGUUAUUAGGGAAGAACAAAUGUGUAAGUAACUAUGCACGUCUUGACGGUACCUAAUCAGAAAGCCACGGCUAACUACGUG
rnacentral:rRNA from 1 species